GGGUUAAGUCCCGCAACGAGCGCAACCCUCGACCUUAGUUGCCAGCAUUCAGUUGGGCACUCUAAGGUGACUGCCGGCUAAAAGUCGGAGGAAGGUGGGGAUGACGUCAAAUCAUCAUGCCCCUUAUGACCUGGGCUACACACGUGCUACAAUGGGCGGUACAAAGGGUCGCGAACCCGCGAGGGGGAGCCAAUCCCAAAAAGCCGCUCUCAGUUCGGAUUGCAGGCUGCAACUCGCCUGCAUGAAGCCGGAAUCGCUAGUAAUCGCGGAUCAGCAUGCCGCGGUCGAAUACGUUCCCGGGCCUU
rnacentral:rRNA from 1 species